rnacentral:rRNA from 1 species
GUGCCAGCAGCCGCGGUAAUACGAACUGUGCAAACGUUAUUCGGAAUCACUGGGCUUACAGGGUGCGUAGGCGGUCUGUUAAGUAGGGUGUGAAAGCCCCCGGCUCAACCGGGGAAUUGCGCCCUAAACUGGCGGACUGGAGUGAGAUAGGGGUGUGCGGAACUUCCGGUGGAGCGGUGAAAUGUGUUGAUAUCGGAAGGAACGCCGGUGGCGAAAGCGGCACACUGGAUCUCAACUGACGCUGAGGCACGAAAGCCAGGGGAGCGAACGGGAUUAGAUACCCCAGUAGUCC